rnacentral:rRNA from 1 species
UAAUACGAAGGGGGCUAGCGUUGCUCGGAAUUACUGGGCGUAAAGGGCGCGUAGGCGGAUGUUUAAGUCAGAGGUGAAAGCCCAGGGCUCAACCUUGGAAUUGCCUUUGAUACUGGACAUCUUGAGUACGGGAGAGGUGAGUGGAACUCCGAGUGUAGAGGUGAAAUUCGUAGAUAUUCGGAAGAACACCAGUGGCGAAGGCGACUCACUGGCCCGUUACUGACGCUGAGGCGCGAAAGCGUGGGGAGCAAACAGGA